AUGUACUACCAGUACAUUCCGGUUCCUCCGCUCCGUGCGCAUCCAAACUGACUGCGCUCGCUACGUUCUAAACC
rnacentral:sRNA from 2 species